CGGUGAGCUCUGAAGUGAAAAGAGAAACGCAAGAAUGAAAAAUCCAAGGUCCUGGAGACAAUGUGAACUCCCUCCACUCUCAGGGUACACAGACUGGGCUAGCUGGAGAGAGCCUACCCUACAGCAGGCCCUAACAGGCAUGAGGAUGUGGCACUAUCUCCGUGUUAUAGGGGAGGGACUGGCUGGCACACAGGCCAGUCCAGCUGGUGGGAUCUGGCCAGCAGCCAGUCUGGAAGCCCUGCUGUGGAGGAAGAAGAAUCACACUCACCAAGUUCUGCUCACAGAGGCCCCGGAACUGCUGGAACUUUUGGGACAUCAGUAGCUGGGCACUGCCCACAGCACUGAGGACUUUUCCUAAAACUGAGAAAGAAAAGGAAGAGAAAGACUGACUUAGCAGAGCACAGGGUUUGUUGGGGUAGAAGUGGGGGGAUCAGGCCAUGGCUUUCAUCUUCUACUCCCUUAAAAUAAGAUCAGCCGCCAUCACCAAAUGAUGAUUUGUGUUCUAUUGUAUUCUAUUUGUACACUGAUCCAUUCUUACUGUGAAAUACACCAGUAACACAGAUAAAGUAAACCUCAUCCUCUAGUUCCUAAGGACAUUUUUAUGGCAAUAAGUUUGAAAACUGAAUUUAAAUGGAAAAAUUGAAGCAGAAGUUAAAAAGGAACCAAGCCCAGAUAGGUUUAUAGGUGGGAUUCUAUAUAAAACUUUAAAACAAACAAAAAACCCACUGCCAUCAAUUGUGACUCAUAGUGACCCUAUAAGACAGAGUAGAACUCCCCCGUAGGGUUUCCAAGGAGCAGCUGGUGGACUCGAACUGCCGACCUUUUGGAUAGCAGCCAAACCACUUAACCACUGUGCCACCAGGGCUAAAACCUUAAAGAAACCCUAUUUUAUAUAGUCAAACUGUUCCAGAGAUUAGAUAUACACAGAAAAUGACCACUCAUUUCAGGAGCCCUGAAGAGGUUAUAGGACACACCAAUAAUAGACCACUUUCUUCAUCAACAUAGAUGUAAAAGUCUUAUAUAAAAUGUAAGCAAAUAGAUCCAACUGAAGAGUUUUAAAAAUAAAGAUUUUAACCAUAAACCUCUUAACCACGAAGUGUUUAGCCCAGGAAUACGAGGUUGGUCUUUUAGUGUGACUUUCAGUUUUAAAGUGGCACAAAGACAAUACUAUGCACCCUACCUCCUUAGAAAUCACUGAAAAGCCAAAACAGUAAACAAGAAAUCAAAAUGCAAACUGUCUCUGAUAAAACCCUAAAAGGCAGUGUAUGAGGAAGUCCGCCAAGUGCGGGACAGCCACACAAGGACUCUUGGUUAUAGGUUUCAGAUGAAGGUGGUAGUUUUUAGUUCUCCAAAAUAAGUAGCACACCAGAGGGGAGAAGGCAAUGAGGGGAGAAGGCAAUAAUCUGAAGUCUAAAAGAACCCGUGUACCUAUCCCCAUCCCCUAGGAAUUCCUGCUAGCCUGGAUACACAGUCCUGGCCCCUCUCCCACAAUGAUCUAUUUUAAGAGCUCAUCCAGGAAUUAGUAGUUUAAAAGGAACCAACAUAAGCGCUAAACGAAGAUAUUACAGGAACAAAUGGCAGAUGAACAUUCACCAGAAAACUGUGACAUCUAGCCAUGACUGUGUAAAACAGAAGUUCAGAGCAGAGACAGAGGUGCUCAGAGAAGAGAUGGCAAGACAAUGGAAGGAGAUAAAACAUGAGCUCAGGAACCAGUGCAAGAGAAAAAUAAGGCCAUCGCAGAAACAAGGGCCACACUAGAAGCAGCACGAAGAAUAAACUCUGCUGUCACUAGUGGGACAUGGAGAGGAGGGCUGUAAAAGUUCCGGUACAAACACAAUCUGCGUGACUGACAACCAACACUAGACAUCUUUUUAAAUGAACAGCUAAGCUCCUAGGAAUAAAGGAGAAGUCUCUCCCGAGAAUUCUUAACCAUAAGCCUAUAGUCAGGUGCCUUUUUUUUUUUUUUUUAAAAAGGAAUAAAA